rnacentral:piRNA from 1 species
UAAAGUUCGUAGAAACUAGAAAUCCAGGUU